GCGCAGGUGGUGACGGUCAGAGGAACGACCGUUCGCCGCGACCGUUGGGAGAAGAAUUUGGCCGCGGCUCAGUGGCUCUCGCCGCAAAUAAACAUCGACUGGGAUGCAGAUCCCCUGGACGGGUGCGGCGCGGUCGGCGCAUCUCACGCCGCGAUCGCCCAAGCCACUCAAGCAAGCCACCUGCGCAGAUAAAACCGCACGCGGCCCCUCUCCCGGAUCUUCGGUUGCUUCCGUCGACAUCGGACAAGUCCAGUCCCCUGUGCGGGAGAGAGGAAAAAAACGCUCUUCGUGGUUAACCUCCCGUGGUGGAAGAAGGCAAGAACCCCACCGAGACUCUGUUGAUGUCUCCUGUGAGGGGGUCGAGCGAGUGGUCUCAGCGACGUCGCUGACGCGCGUCGAGAGAGCGAUCGUUGAGAACGGCGGCGGUGGUGACGGAGAGGGGGGUGAUGGUGGCGGAGGAGGGUGGGGGGGCUAUUCACGGUGGCCGAGCGUGAGAGGUGUCGCCGCGCGCAAUCGCCGCCCUGGGCCGGCAGCUGCCGGGCCGCUCGCACCGCUGACGCGGUAGCAGCAGUCACUCAGGAAUUCGGUUGCCGAGCUCCCAGGACGUGGAGAGAAACAUCGGGGCAUCAUGCUGAACGACAAAGGGGAACAACCCGAAAACGUUUCCGAGAGUGAGCGCAGAGCGUGCGCGUGGCUACCGCCACUACCGCUACCGCACCGGAGCUGUCGGCCAGACGACCUGAGGUGUGACGUGGCUGAAUUCAGCAGAGCGAAGCCCCAUGACUGUGGGCUGCGGGGGCGACGAGUUUGGCAUUAGCCGAGCAGGAGCUGACAACUGCAAUAUUACACAUUUUCUGUGUUUGUAGGAGUAUAAUUUGCCGCAAAACAAUAAAGUGAUCCACUUACGCAUGCUUGUGCGUGUGUACAGGGCACACGAUAAAUGUAAAAAUGCUGCUCAUGCCGUUACGAUGAUGGCUUAUUUAUGAAAUGCAAAUCAUAAAACAUUGAUUUUUUUAUGCUUGUUCAAAAGACAACAGUUGAUGCGCAGCUCCCUGGCAAUCUUCAAGAUACUGGCUGUGGAAAGGCACCCGAUUCCAUCAGAUCCCAGAAGCUAAGCAUUGUGUGGACUUGGAUAGGGUGAGUUGGGGGACCGUCGUCCGCGAGACAGGUUACCGCUAAGAGCCUCCCACCGUCGGCAGCGUAGGGCGGUUCAACAAAAUUCACUGUUAUACCGUGUUCCCAUGCUCCUGUGUUUCCAUGCUCCUGUGUCUACGCUCCCUGCCUUCACAAUCCCACAGUGACCAGCACAGAAAAGUAUGGUCAAAUAACCCCCACAAGCCACGGGGCGUGGGGAGGCCUUCAUCCAGCAGUGCAUUGACAAAAUAGGCUGUGUACGUAAGCGGAUUUCGAUACACGCUCUUACGAGUAAAGAAAUACGCUCGACCUGGUGCGUCACGUCACGCGCGCAGAAUUUGUUUUCCAGACUUCCGUGUGUGCAGCAGCUGAGCAGUCUGCCUAUGCAAAUCGCGAUUGCGUAAUCAUCACAAUGGGUGCUUUGAGGCUCUGCGGUGGCUGAGCUGCCGAUAUUGCUUUUUCUCCAGCCGGCCAGUCAUUCAUUUUGUAGGCCUCAAUGGUUAAAAGUACAGUCUCCAGCGCUGAUAAUCCACUCGAUCUCUCUGGCCUCUCUCUCCAUGGUGCCAUGAAGAAGGGCCAUUGCCCGAAACGUCAAAUAGGAUAGACUUUUCCUUUUAAGCCCAAACACAGUGGGUUGUUAUUGAUGAACGUGUUGAUGUUUUUGUUUUACACAGUUGAUGAGCACAGGCACGAGGCCCAACACGUCCAGUUGGCCAGCAACAAACAGCACUGUCAGGGUUGUCAUGGAUAAUUGUGUAACACGUUCCUUGAAUUAAGCAAAGUUGCUUCUCAUAAGAGCUGGGGGGAAAUGAAACGACGGGAGUGAAGUCUUGUAACCUCAAGUGCGUGAGUGUGGGUGAGUGAGUGUUGUUAUAACCUGCAGUGCGGUGGGUGAGCUUGUGAGUGAGCUCGUAUCGUGUUUAAUGCGAUGCGCUACGAACCCGAUGACCCGAGUUCGAUUCCCACUCAUGGCCACCAACACCAGUGAUGAUUAUCUGAAAAAGUCCUGGGCCUCCCCUAGGCCGAUGUACAAAGAUCACAAUUAGGGAGACAAAGGCGACCAGGUGUGAUGCUGGCCACCCACCUCCUCUCGUGUCCUGUUCCAGCCUUCAUAGGUGCUCUCAAACAGCACUUGCCCCAAAAGUCUGCUAAGGCUAUACGUGAAACAUUUGUUGUCUUUGUGAGCAAGUGAGAGGGCUAGCGAGUGAGUGAGUUGUUGUGACCGGCAGUGUGGCGGUGGUGGUUGAACACAGCGGUGGUGGAUGUAAAUGUUAUGCCAGUGUCUGUCAGGCCGAGUCCUGGACAUGGAUGGGGCGAAUCGACAGGCGAGUCAUUGGCACACUUUUCCCAUCACGAAAAACCGCGGGCACAAAGGCCCUGGUCUCAUAGCAACACCGCUCGUGUUACG